rnacentral:rRNA from 1 species
GACGGGGGAUGCAAGCGUUAUUCGGAAUUAUUGGGCGUAAAGCGUCUGUAGGUGGUGGAAAAAGUGUCGUGUUAAAGAUCAAGGCUUAACCUUGGACCAGCAUGGCAAACUAAUUCACUUGAGUUCGGUAGGGGCAGAGAGAAUUCCCAGUGUAGCGGUGAAAUGCGUAGAUAUUGGGAGGAAGACCGGUGGCGAAGGCGUUCUGCUGGGCCGUAACUGACACUCAGAGACGAAAGCUAAGGGAGCAAAUAGGAUUAGAUACCCUAGUAGUCUUAGCUGUAAACGAUGCACACUAUGCUUUUAACAGAGCAAAAGCUAACGCGUUAAGUGUGCCGCCUGGGGAGUACACUCGCAAGGGUG